rnacentral:sRNA from 1 species
GAAGUAGGGAGUUUGAUAUUCACUUGAUGACAUACAUACAUGUUCAGGAUUGACAGACUCGUGACACCCAUCUGGUGGAAUCACAGAGUCAUCCUUGCUCCCACUGGAACUACACAAAUCAAGUUGGUGAAUGACGUCACGGAUAGCGAUUUUGUAUUUCAUGAUCUGUUUCUUAGCACGCUGUAGCUCCUUCUCUGGCUUUAUUUUCUCUCGACUGUUAGGAAAGGCACACCCUUUAGUAAGUAUAGUAUAAAUAGCAUACUAUUAGUUGGAUUUGAAUAUUUCUAUAGUCAAAACUCAGAAGCUUACAACAGUAAGAGAGAAGCAGUGCAUACCUGUGCCCAUUCCAACCAUCUCCAGAGUAUGCAUCUAGCA